GAUGAACGCUGGCGGCGUGCCUAAUACAUGCAAGUCGAGCGAACAGAUGAGGAGCUUGCUCCUCUGACGUUAGCGGCGGACGGGUGAGUAACACGUGGAUAACCUACCUAUAAGACUGGGAUAACUUCGGGAAACCGGAGCUAAUACCGGAUAAUAUAUUGAACCGCAUGGUUCAAUAGUGAAAGACGGUUUUGCUGUCACUUAUAGAUGGAACCGCGCCGCAUUAGCUAGUUGGUAAGGUAACGGCUUACCAAGGCAACGAUGCGUAGCCGACCUGAGAGGGUGAUCGGCCACACUGGAACUGAGACACGGUCCAGACUCCUACGGGAGGCAGCAGUAGGGAAUCUUCCGCAAUGGGCGAAAGCUUGACGGAGCAACGCCGCGUGAGUGAUGAAGGUCUUCGGAUCGUAAAACUCUGUUAUUAGGGAAGAACAAAUGUGUAAGUAACUAUGCACGUCUUGACGGUACCUAAUCAGAAAGCCACGGCUAACUACGUG
rnacentral:rRNA from 1 species